GGGCACUCAAAGUGGGGUGUCAGGAAAAUAAAAUCUCACCAAAGGAGAUGGUCGUGGACUUCAGGAAACAGUAGAGGGAGCACCCCCCCCAUCCACAUCGACGGGACAGCAGUGGAGAAGGUGGAUAUUUUCAAGUUCCUCGGCGUACACAUCACGGACAAACUGAAAUGGUCCACCCACACAGACAGAGUGGUGCAGAAGGCGCAGCAGCGCCUCUUCAACCUCAGGAGGCUGAAGAAAUUUGGCUUGUCACCUUAAACCCUCACAGACUUUUACAGAUGCACAAUUGAGAACAUCCUGUCGGGCUGUAUCACUGCCUGGUACGGCAAAUGCACCACCCACAACCGCAGGGCUCUCCAGAGGGUGGUGCAGUCUGCACAACGCAUCACCGGGGGAAAACUAUCUGCCCUCCAGGACACCUACAGCACCCGUUGUCACAUGAAGGCCAAAAAGACCACACGAGCAACUGUCUGUUCACUACGCUACCAUCCAGAAGACGAGGCAGAACAACAUGGUUGUGGACAGAAUUGCAAAAUCUCCACUUGAAACCUGGACGGAGUCUGAGGCCAAAGUGAGGGAAAUUAUCUCGGAGAAACUGAAGAGGGACAGCAGAUUGAGAUGGAGCAUGCCAACAUGACUGUUAAACCCACCACUGGCCCAGGUAACAGUCCCAGGCCGAUAGUGGUCAAGUUCUUGAGGUUCAAGGACAAGGUAGCUGUUCUGGAAAGAGCCAAGAACUUGAGAGGAAUGUAUAUCUUCCUCAACGAGGGCGACUCAGAAGCUGUGCGCCAGAAGAGGAAAGAACUUACCUGCCAGAGCGUGUGGGGACAUUGCUUACAUCCGCUAUGACAAUAUAUGUAGUCUUAGAAAUAAGGUUCAUGAAAUCAAUAACUUGCUAACAUCAGAUAACAUUCAUAUAUUAUACAUUUCUGAGACUCACUUAGAUAAUUUAUUUGAUGAUACAGCAGUAGCAAUACAAGGACAUAACAUCUAUAGAAGAGAUAGAAAUGCUUACGCGGGAGAUGUUGCUGUAUAUAUUCAGAGCCUUAUCCCUGUAAUGCUUAGGGAAGAUCUUAUGUCAAGUGUUAUUGAAUUGUUGUGGUUGCAGGUGCACCUGGCAUAUCUAAAGCCUUUUAUUUUGGGGUGUUGCUAUUGGCCACCAAGUACUAACAGUCAUUAUCUACACUGAACAAAAAUAUAAACGCAACAUGUAAAGUGCUGG
ensembl:lncRNA